AGCCCCGGCUAACUACGUGCCAGCAGCCGCGGUAAUACGUAGGGGGCAAGCGUUAUCCGGAUUUACUGGGUGUAAAGGGAGCGUAGACGGCAUGGCAAGCCAGAUGUGACAUUUU
rnacentral:rRNA from 1 species